AUGGUGUUCAAAUCCAAGAUAAAAUUGGUGGCUCUGUUCGUGCUGGUUUUAUCUUUGGCGUCGCUGCUCCGGCACCUCUCCAUCGCCAAGUACUCCUCCCCCACUCUCCACUACAGCGCCCUCUCCGCUUUCCACAACGAUUUCGAUGGAAUACAACCACAGAGAAUCCCCAGUAGGAAGCUGUGGGCGGCUGUCAAGCCCUUGCAGUCUCUGCAGCCUUACGCAAACCCUCGCGGCAGCAACUAUCCUGCUCCUCCUCAUGACCAUCACAACUCUCGCUUCAUCUACGCUAAGAUAUUCGGCGGUUUCGCCAGGAUAAGAUCUUCCUCUUCAUUUUUCUAUAGAUCUGUGAUCUGGUCACCAUUUCCAGGCUUCUAAAUGCUACUCUUGUCAUUCCAGAGAUUCAAGAAACCAUUCGCUCCAAAGGCAUCAGCAAUCGCUUUAAGAGUUUUUCAUAUCUCUACGACGAGGACCAAUUUAUUGCCUCCCUCAAAAAUGACAUAAUCGUUGUCAAGAGCCUGCCCCAUAAUCUCAAGUCUGCAAGGAAAAGGAACGAAUUCAAAACUUUUAGACCCAAGAAUUCAGCUUCUCCUGAUUAUUAUAUCAAACAAGUCCUACCAACGCUGAAGAAAUCCAAGGUUGUUGGCUUGAUUCUUGCUGAUGGCGCAUGUCUGCAGGCAAUCCUUCCGCCAAGCAUGGCCGAGUUUCAAAGGCUUAGAUGCAGGGUUGCCUUCCAUUCACUUCAAUUUAGGCAAGAAAUUCAAAUUCUCGGACAACGGAUGGUGGGGAGAUUACGUGCAUGGGGCCAACCUUUCCUAGCGUUUAAUCCUGGUUUAUUGAGAGAAACAUUGGCAUAUCAUGGUUGCGGCGAACUUUUUCAGGAUGUUCACACUGAACUCAUACAAUAUCGAAGGGCUCAAAUGAUUAAGCGGGGGAUCGUUAAGGAUGAACUAAGUGUAGAUUCACACUACCGCAGAGAAAAUGGUUCUUGCCCGCUUAUGCCUGAAGAGGUUGGCAUCAUACUUCACGCGAUGGGAUAUCCUCCUAAAACAAUCAUAUAUGUGACUGGUUCUGAAACAUUUGGGGGUCAACGUGUUCUAGUUCCUCUGCGUGCCAUGUUUGCCAACUUAGUAGAUCGCACUUCUUUGUGCACAAAUAAAGAACUCUCUGAUGUACUAGGGCCUGAAACACCUCUUCCUCCUAAUCCUUGGUAUCCACCUCCAGCAAAGCAGCUUAAAGAAGAAUGGAAGAGAGCUGGUCCUAGGCCUCGGCCUCUUCCUCCACCUCCAAGUAGACCUAUCUAUCAGCAUGAGAAAGAAGGUUGGUAUGGUUGGAUUACUGAGAAUGACACUGAACCAGAGCCUUCAAAGGUGGAGCUGAGGAUGCAAGCACAUAGACUACUUUGGGAUGCUCUUGAUUAUAUUGUUUCAGUGGAAUCAGAUGCAUUCUUUCCUGGUUUUCACAAUGAUGGCAGUGGGUGGCCUGAUUUUUCAAGCUUGGUCAUGGGUCACCGUUUAUACGAGAUUGCUUCUUCGAGAACAUACCGACCAGACAGGAAAGUUGUUGCAGAACUUUUCAACAUGACCAGGGACAAUAUUUACCAUCACAAGCAUGACUGGAUACUAUCUGUACAGGAACAUCUUAACAAAAGCUUGGGCGAGGAGGGCCUAAUUAGGCAAUCAGUUUUCUCGAAGCCAGCAUCAUUCAUUUCACACCCACUUCCGGAAUGCUCUUGUAGAAUAUCUUCUGCCGAGUCUUCAGUUCAUGUAAAAGGUUAUGAUGGCCGAAUUGUAUAUGGAGGGGAAGAAGAGUGCCCCAAAUGGAUGCAGCAUGGUCAAGAAAUUCCAGGGCAGUCAACUGGGGAAGAAGUGGGUAAAUCAGAUGACAAUGAAUCAUCAGACUAUGGAAAUGCUGUGGUUGAAGAACCGGAAUCAAAUGACAGUGACAGAACUUAUGUGAAUCAAAUAUUUAUCCAGGAUGACGAAAUGGAUCCAAAUGACUAAAUUUGUAGUUACAGAUGAUAUAGCUUCCAUCAUAUGAGCAGCCUUCUGUUUGCAACAAUUUCUGAAAUGGACAUUUUGGAGAUAGAGGAUAGCCUCCUGGUUCCAUCUUUUCCAUAUAAGAGACAUAGGUAUUCAUAUAUAUUCUUUGGGUCAAUUCUUGGGUUUUCUAUAGCAACAGAAACGAGUUACCUUCAUACAAAUGAGGAAUGGGAAAAGAUCAAUGCACUUUGGCUAGCUGAUCAGAGUAUGUACACCUUACUCUUUACUCUUUUAUUGUUUUUUGUUUUUAGUCAUAGUAAAAAGUCCCACGUGCUAGAUCGGCCACCUCUGUAAUUCUUUCUAUACAG